AGCGGAGCAUGUGGUUUAAUUCGAAGCAACGCGAAGAACCUUACCAGGUCUUGACAUCCCUCUGAAUGGCGCUUAGCAGCGCAGGUCCUUCGGGACAGAGUGACAGGUGCUGCAUGGCUGUCGUCAGCUCGUGUCGUGAGAUGUUGGGUUAAGUCCCGCAACGAGCGCAACCCUUGUCUCUAGUUGCCAGUAUUAAGUUAGGGACUCUAGAGAGACUGCCUCGGUUAACGGGGAGGAAGGUGGGAUGACGUCAAGUCCUCAUGGCCUUUAUACCCAGGGCUACACACGUGCUACAAUGGGCUGCACAAAGGGUCGCUAGCUCGCGAGAGUGCGCUAAUCCCAAAAAGCAGUUCUCAGUUCGGAUUGGAGUCUGCAACUCGACUCCAUGAAGUUGGAAUCGCUAGUAAUCGUGGAUCAGCACGCCACGGUGAAUACGUUCCCUGGCCUU
rnacentral:rRNA from 1 species